rnacentral:rRNA from 1 species
UAGGGAAUCUUCGGCAAUGGGGGGAACCCUGACCGAGCAACGCCGCGUGAGUGAAGAAGGUUUUCGGAUCGUAAAGCCCUGUUGUUAAGGAAGAACGAGUGUGAGAAUGGAAAGUUCAUACUGUGACGGUACUUAACCAGAAAGGGACGGCUAACUACGUGCCAGCAGCCGCGGUAAUACGUAGGUCCCGAGCGUUGUCCGGAUUUAUUGGGCGUAAAGCGAGCGCAGGCGGUUAGAUAAGUCUGAAGUUAAAGGCAGUGGCUCAACCAUUGUAGGCUUUGGAAACUGUUUAACUUGAGUGCAGAAGGGGAGAGUGGAAUUCCAUGUGUAGCGGUGAAAUGCGGAGAUAUAUGGAGGAACACCGGUGGCGAAAGCGGCUCUCUGGUCUGUAACUGACGCUGAGGCUCGAAAGCGUGGGGAGCGAACAGG